AACCGCCGUAUACCAGACCGGUACGUACGGUGGUGUGAGAGGACAGUGAGGGAAAUAAUCCCUCACUUCCUACUCGAU
rnacentral:ncRNA from 2 species